GGAGGUAAUCCGGCUGGAUGAGGAGCUUGACUUGAAAUCAAGUAUUACUCGCGAGGGUAUUAGGGGUUCGAGUCCCUUUGCCUCCA
rnacentral:tRNA from 1 species